AGAUUUUGGUGCGCUAUGUCCCGCCCUCACCUUUGCCAUGCGGCCAAUAGGCCAACUCCUGGGAGCUUGACUGAAAGUAAGCGGCUGAAUCAUACACAGGUAGCUCAGAAAAAUAGCGAGGAGGAAAAACAAUUCUGGGCUUGUCAUGGAGUUCGCUUGAAAGAAAACAAUUUUCUUUACCAGUUAAACCAGUAUCUCUGGAUAGAAAACGCUCAAGUACUUGAUCAGGUUGGGAAACUUCAGAGACGUCUUGUGAAGCCCGACUCUUUGGAGUUGACAGACCAGAGUAAAGAGGAGACUGGGCUGUCUGUGGAGGAACUCUACAAGGUUGAACCUCUGGACAAAGUUCUGCAACAGUUCCAGCAGUCCGUCUCAGCGGAGUUGAAGGCUCUGGGCAGAAGCUCCUACACACUGUGUGUUGACGGGCCCCUCAUCAUACGACAGGCCCUUCACCCUGAGGCCUCCAAGAAGAACCUGGUCCUUCCGGAGUGUUUCUACUCCUUUGUGGAUGUGAGGAAAGAGUUUCACAAAUGUUGUCCCAAUGCUGGACAGGUCCAGGACCUAACACUGCACUCUAUGCUAGAAUAUGUGUGCAUCCCAGAACUUCCCCUGUCAGAGCAGGUGAUGGGGCUGAAGGAGGUGAGGUGUAUGGUCCAGCUCUCCCUGCACAUCCUGGCUGAGCCAUACAACCACAAAUUCUCAUGCUUUGAAGCUGUGAAGUAUAAGCUUGAAUCGGGAGCAUGCAGUAAGACCGAGCCAGUGGACAGUGAGACAGUGAUCAGAGCCAGGGGGUUGCCAUGGCAAUCCUCUGACCAGGACAUCGCCCGCUUCUUCAAGGGCCUCAACAUUGCCAAGGGUGGUGUGGCCCUCUGUCUGAACGCCCAGGGCAGGAGGAAUGGUGAAGCACUGGUUCGGUUCAUCAACCAGGAGCACAGAGACCUGGCCCUGGAGAGACACAAACACCACAUGGGCAGCAGAUACAUUGAGGUAUACAAAGCCACAGGAGAGGAAUUCCUCAAGAUCGCUGGAGGCACAUCCAACGAGGUGGCCCAGUUCCUGUCCAAGGAGAACCAGGUGAUCAUCAGGAUGAGGGGUCUUCCCUUCACUGCCUCUCCCCAGGACGUGUUGACCUUCCUGGGGGCCGACAGCCCCGUGACGGACGCCAGCGAUGGCCUACUCUUCGUAAAGUACCCUGACGGGCGGCCCACAGGCGACGCCUUCGUCCUGUUCUCCUGUGAAGAGUAUGCUCUGAAUGCCCUGAAGAAACACAAGCAGAUCCUGGGCAAGAGAUACAUUGAGCUGUUCAGAAGCACUGCAGCAGAGGCCCAACAGGUCCUGAACCGUUACAUGUCCACCCCUCUGAUCUCCACGCUGCCCUCUUCCAUGGUCCCCAUGCCGGUCUUGGCCACGCCCCCCUACCUGGCGACUGGCAGCACGCGGGACUGUGUCCGUUUGCGAGGUUUACCCUACACUGCUGCUAUAGAGGAUAUACUGGAGUUCAUGGGAGAACACACUAUUGAUAUUAAACCACAUGGAGUUCAUAUGGUGCUCAACCAACAGGGUCGUCCCUCAGGUGACGCCUUCAUUCAGAUGAGGUCAGCUGACAGGGCGUUCAUGGUGGCCCAGAAGUGCCACAAGAAGAUGAUGAAGGACCGCUAUGUGGAGGUGUUCCAGUGUUCUACUGAGGAGAUGAGCUUCGUCCUGAUGGGAGGAACACUGAACCGCAGCGGCCUGUCCCCUCCACCCUGCAAACUACCCUGUCUGGCUCCUCCGGCCUAUGCUGCGUUCCCUUCUCCCGCCAUGCUCUCUGAGGCUGCUCUGUACCAGCCCCCCCUACUGGCCACCCCCAGAACACCCCAGCCCCCACACAGCCCCCACCCCACCCCCACCCUGGCCUACUACCCCCCACAGCAUCACCCUGCACAGUUCUACAUGAACAUGAACAUGAACUACACUGCGUACUACCCCAGCCCCCCAGUCUCUCCCUCCACGAUGAGCUACUUUGCGUCUCCUCCAGGGUCAGUAGCGUUAGCGGCCCAGCAGCCCCAUGCCCAAGGCCACGUUGCCUCUCCCAUGAUGCCCCAGCACGGCGCUCUAGUUAGGAUGCAGGGUCUGCCCUACAACGCCGGGGUCAAAGACAUCCUCAGCUUCUUCCAGGGAUACCAGAUGCUGUAACCAAAAUACAGGUAUUGGGUCUGUGUGAUUGGUUCUCUGCUUUUAUUCAGGUAAAUUCAUGAACACUUCCAUUGUUUUAACACCUCCCUAAUUUGAAAUGCAAACAGCCCCCAUGGUUUAACAACAUCCCUGCCAGUUAUUCACUGACAUGUAUAAAAGGAGUAUAACUGCAAAUGAGUUGGAAAUAAGGGGCUGUGUCUGUCUGGUUUAGGAGCUGUUGGUUAGAGUCCUGCAUCUGGUCAGCUCCCUGCGAUUGACCUGCAAAAACAAAAUCAGCUAGCGGGUGCAAUGAAAAAGUUAUUUCAACCCACGGGUCGGCUCUCAGUUCAGAACAAUUAUUUUGCUGGUCUGAAGCAUUUUAAAUCAAGAUAAUAUAUUUUUUUACAAACCCUGGAGCUUAUUGUGUUUUGCGAAUUCCAUUCUGUGAGCGGUGAGGCAGACAUGUAGGCUACCAGCCAUGCACGCAGUGGAUCAGGGAACUGUCCAUUGUGUGGUGCUGAACCUUGUGUUUUAUCCCCCCCACGUGAAUACCUUGCCAAGUGUCCUUUCCCGGGCUAGCCUAGCUCACGUGAAAAAGGCUAACGUAGGCCUAACCGGAGAAAUAAAAAGGUUAUGAAAUACACCAUAGUGGAAACAGGUGCUGCGUGAGUCAUUGUGGACCAGGACAACAACCCGGUAGAUGGAGUGGCUAUGCAGACAGCAAAACUUGCAAGCAGGUAUUUGUUUAAAGUGGGCCAAUUCAGUUUAAUAUCAGUUAAUUCAGGCUUUUGUUCAUUUGGACCAUACGCAGGCCAUAUGAAGUUUAAACCGGUGCGCUGGUUAAAGUUUGAGUAGGCUAUAGCCUAUAAAUGUAUAAUUGCAGCCUAUAAACAAUUCCAAGAAUCGAAUGUUUCAAUUCAAUUAUUUGAUUAUCUAAACAAUAUUGAAUGUAAAGGUUUUGUCAGCUAUAGGCAAUUCUAUGCAGGUGGAUCAGGUUGAGGAGAAAAAUCUUUCGUCAGAUGGGGCUCUGAAUUGGUUUUGGGCGGGUGAGGCUCCAGAACUGACCCGUGUAGGACUCUACUGUCGGUACCUGGGGCGGCAGGGUAGCCUAGUGGUUAGAGCGUUGGUCUAGUAAUCGGAAGGUUGCAAGUUCAAACCCCCGAGCUGACAAGGUACAAAUCUGUCGUUCUGCCCCUGAACAGGCAGUUAACCCACUGUUCCUAGGCCGUCAUUGAAAAUAAGAAUUUGUUCUUAACUGACUUGCCUAGUUAAAUAAAGGUCAUUUUUAAAAUAAAAUUAAAAAAAACAUUAUGGCUUGUUACAUAAAAUAUUAUUGGUCAUGUACACAAUUUGCAGAUGUUAUCACGGGUGCAGUGAAAUGCUUAUGUUUCUAGCUACAACAGUGCAGUAAUAUAAAACAAUACACACAAAUUAAUAAAUACCUGGACAAACUGUCCAAACCCUUAUUCAUUAAUAGCAUAUUUGUAUAAUUCCCCCACCUCAUGACAAAACCAGCUUUAUGUUUAACUACAAGCCUGUAGGCAAACCCAUCAUUCAGAAUUGAACAGUCAGUGUGCUCAUAUAUUAGCAACCAGAAUGCUUUACUGCAACACAAACCAUGCAGCAUAUUCAAUAAGGGACGUGUGCACUUGUGCUCUCCCCUUUUCUUGCUUCUCCCUCAUUGGCUGACUGGCGGAGUGAGUCUACAGAGGAGUACUCUCCUGAAGACUACAGCAGCAUGGUUCAGAUGAGUCAGGGACAGACCAGGAGUCUGAUCCAGCCCAAAGAGUGGCUCUGUCUGUAGGGAGACUUGGCUCCAGCCGGACGCCGUCCUCCUGUUGUACAACUUCAG